UGGCCACGACUACACGCUAUAAUGCAAGUCGAACGAACUUCCGUUAAUUGAUUAUGACGUACUUGUACUGAUUGAGAUUUUAACACGAAGUGAGUGGCGAACGGGUGAGUAACACGUGGGUAACCUGCCCAGAAGUAGGGGAUAACACCUGGAAACAGAUGCUAAUACCGUAUAACAGAGAAAACCGCAUGGUUUUCUUUUAAAAGAUGGCUCUGCUAUCACUUCUGGAUGGACCCGCGGCGUAUUAGCUAGUUGGUGAGGUAAAGGCUCACCAAGGCAGUGAUACGUAGCCGACCUGAGAGGGUAAUCGGCCACAUUGGGACUGAGACACGGCCCAGACUCCUACGGGAGGCAGCAGUAGGGAAUCUUCCACAAUGGACGCAAGUCUGAUGGAGCAACGCCGCGUGAGUGAAGAAGGGUUUCGGCUCGUAAAGCUCUGUUGUUAAAGAAGAACGUGGGUAAGAGUAACUGUUUACCCAGUGACGGUAUUUAACCAGAAAGCCACGGCUAACUACGUGCCAGCAGCCGCGGUAAUACGUAGGUGGCAAGCGUUAUCCGGAUUUAUUGGGCGUAAAGCGAGCGCAGGCGGUCUUUUAAGUCUAAUGUGAAAGCCUUCGGCUCAACCGAAGAAGUGCAUUGGAAACUGGGAGACUUGAGUGCAGAAGAGGACAGUGGAACUCCAUGUGUAGCGGUGAAAUGCGUAGAUAUAUGGAAGACACCAGUGGCGAAGGCGGCUGUCUGGUCUGCAACUGACGCUGAGGCUCGAAAGCAUGGGUAGCGAACAGGAUUAGAUACCCUGGUAGUCCAUGCCGUAAACGAUGAUUACUAAGUGUUGGAGGGUCUCCCGCCCUUCAGUGCUGCAGCUAACGCAUUAAGUAAUCCGCCUGGGGAGUACGACCGCAAGGGUUGAAACUCAAAAGAUUUGACGGGGGCCCGCACAGCGGAGAAGCAUGUGGUUUAUUCGAAGCUACGCGGAAGAAACUUUACCAGUCUGACAUCUUCUGACAGUC
rnacentral:rRNA from 1 species